CUCGUAGGCGGUUUGUCGCGUCGGGAGUGAAAUCCACUGGCUUAACUGGUGGCUUGCUUUCGAUACGGGCAGACUGGAGGCAUGCAGGGGAGAACGGAAUUCCUGGUGUAGCGGUGAAAUGCGCAGAUAUCAGGAGGAACACCGGUGGCGAAGGCGGUUCUCUGGGCAUGUCCUGACGCUGAGGAGCGAAAGUGUGGGGAGCGAACA
rnacentral:rRNA from 1 species